CAACUUUGCUCCCUGUUUCUCUUUUAAAGAGGCAAAACAUUGUGAGUUUUAUGAAUGUGAUCCUAAAACCACAGAGUGUGAAGAGAAACGGUUUCCAGAAUGCAAAUGCAAAUUUGAUUUAGAAAAGACAAAAUGGAGUAAUUAUUCUUGUCCAGUGUGCAGUGCAAACUGCUCUGCAGCAAAACACAAGUACUGUAUACAAGAAAAAGAUGGUCCAACAUGCAAAUGUAUGAUUAACUACAAAAUGGAGGCUGGAGAAUGUGUGGCUUGUCCAGUGGGCUACUCCGGGGAGCAAUGCACUGACA